AGUUGGAAUAAAAAGGAUAGAACUCCCAGGUAAAGACCAUUAUUCAUUAAAAAUUGAUUUAUUGUUCAUAUUUGUUGAACGUCAGAGUACUUGUUGUAGGUAUCUCCCCCGUUUCAGCUCACACCGCUCGGGCAAAGUGUAGCAAAAGGACCGAAGAUGACCAUUUGACAACAAGAGUAGCAUUCAGACAUAUUGUGGUAGGAACAUUUUUUGCGCCUACUCUAGGGUCGUGUAACAUAGUCCCCAACCCCAAGAGUUCUGACAAUUACAAUUACAUGAACCGAAACAAACAUAGCAGCAACUGAAUAACCUGAAAAUUGAUAACAUGCAGAAGCACAUGUGAAGGACCAGACCAACUUGACCUCUAUGGUAAGGAAAUUGCAGGCACAGGUGUUGGAUAUGCAUCAACACCACACUCAAGAAGUCAUGGCCCUGCACCAAGAGAGUGCACAACUAUGAGAAGUUAAUCGAUCCUGGCGACCU
rnacentral:lncRNA from 1 species